UUUCCAGGGAAGGACCCAGGACUUCUCCGGUUCCUGGUAGAUGUGCAGCAGGUGCGCAUUGUAAGCGCGUUGAUGUCUGGUUGGGGAGCGCCAUGCCAGCACAUUUUAAAAGGUCUUUGUUUGUUUGUUGAUUCAAAAAAAGGAAGGGGGAGAAAAGAGAGAGAAAAAGGAACGACGUGUAGCCUUUUGUGCGGGUUAAAGUCCUCGGCGAGCAAGGAGAGUGCAACAGGGAGAUAAGUGACAUUUGGGCUGGAGCGAACGAUAUGAGCAAUGUAUAUGAUUAUGUGGGCUGGUGUGUGGAAUUGAUGAUUGCCUGAAGUACUGCGGCAGGAAAGUAUUCUACGAUUGGCUCUGUGCGCUGUUGGGACUUCAUUGAUGAAGAUAGAAGAGCUGAAGCCUGAAGCCAUGCUGAAGCCUGAUUUAGAAGCAGAUACGCUGAUGAGCAACCGAGCCCCAUUCUUUCUGCCUGAGCUCCACAGAGAAGCUUAUCAUUGCAGCUACGUCGGUGAGCACCCUGACCUUUCAUUCUCUCUGCCUGAGCCCCACAGAGAAGCAGACACGCUGUGAACAUGCCGAUGGGCAACUGAGCCCCAUUCUUUCUGCCUGAGCUCUACAGAGAAGCAGUUACACUGCAGCUACGUCGGUGAGCAACUUGACCCCUCAUUCUCUCUGCCUGAGCCCCACAGAAUAGUCACGUUGACGAGGACCUCCCUUGUGUGACCAAGUAUUGUUAUGGAUUCCAGUGGCCUCCAAUUCAGUCCAGGCCUACACGGCGAAACCAUCUGCUCAACAUUCUUAGACUUUUAAAAUUAAUAAAACAUCCCUUUUAAUCUGU